GUGACGAGUUUGAUCAUGGCUCAGGAUGAACGCUGGCGGCGUGCCUAACACAUGCAAGUCGAACGGGAGACCAAUUUCGAUUGGUUGAGAGUGGCGAACGGGUGAGUAACACGUAGCUAACCUGCCCUCAAGACGUGGAUAACUAAUGGAAACAGUAGCUAAUACACGAUAAGCUCACGAGUUGUAAAUGCUUGUGAGAAAAGUUAAGGCGCUUGAGGAUGGGGCUGCGAGCCAUCAGCUAGUUGGUGAGGUAAACGGCCCACCAAGGCGACGAUCCAUAGCCGGCCUGAGAGGGUGAACGGCCACAUUGGGACUGAGACACGGCCCAAACUCCUACGGGAGGCAGCAGUGGGGAAUAUUGCACAAUGGGGGAAACCCUGAUGCAGCGACGCCGCGUGGAGGAAGAAGGUUUUCGGAUUGUAAACUCCUGUCGUUAGGGACGAUAAUGACGGUACCUAACAAGAAAGCACCGGCUAACUACGUG
rnacentral:rRNA from 1 species